GUUUCUGUAGUUAAGUUAUAACGGUGGUUUUUCAAAUCAUUAUCCUUGGUUAAAACCCUGGCGGAAAUU